rnacentral:rRNA from 1 species
UACGGAGGAUGCAAGCGUUAUCCGGAAUGAUUGGGCGUAAAGCGUCCGCAGGUGGCUGUGUAAGUCUGCUGUCAAAGAGCAAAGCUCAACUUUGUAAAGGCAGUGGAAACUACACGGCUAGAGUGCGUUCGGGGCAGAGGGAAUUCCUGGUGUAGCGGUGAAAUGCGUAGAUAUCGGGAGGACCACCUGUGGUGUAGACGGCUUACGGGACCGCCACUGACGCUGAGGCACGAAAGCGUGGGUAGCAAACAGG